CGUGAGCGGCGCUGCGCUGGAUUGGAGUGAGGCGCUUUCCGCGGGAUCCUGCGGAGAGCGCGGUGUUUGUAGAAAAGGCACUUUAAAGAGCAGAAAAGCUACGGGAGAGCUGACGCUGUUUCCAGAUGGAGUCGCCUCUUAUUGACCUAUGCUCCUGAGACUCUGGCACCCAGUUACCCCAAGCCAUUCGGCCUGCAGAACCAGUGGCCCUCCUCUGCCUGUUCAGAACUCUGCAGUUCUAGAUAAGCUGGGCCUCAGGGACACUGUGCGCCCACCUGCCCUUUGGAAGCUCCACAGCUCUCCUAGCCCUGGGAUGCUGCGGCGGAUGUAGCGGCCUCAAACCCACCUCUCCACUUCACUGAACCCGGAAGCCUGGAGGGUCCCAAACAGUCUGAGCUUUGGGCAGAGUGCGCUGAGCACUCACCACAGGCCGUGCUGCCUCUGGAACCUGCGAUCCUCCCCUGCUUGCUGAGAUAACCACAGUCCUCCAGACACAUGGGGAGGCUGAUGCAGUUGCCCCAGAUCAGCCCAGCCCCUCCUCUGCACACCGAUGGUGGGGUGCUGGCGGAAUAUUGUUUUCCAUACCUUGACUUUCAGCCUGAGUUUCCUUUCAAGUCAGAUGUGUUUCUUAUACACAGCAUAUUGUUAGAUUCUGUUUAUUGACCCAGUCUGUCAAUCCAUUUCUUUUAAUUGGUGAAUUGAGGCUACUUACGAUGAUGGAAAUAAAUGAUAUGUACUGGCUUA